CCCUAGUUGUUAGCGUGAUGGUGUCAUGGCGAGUGGUUGAUCGUGCGUCGCGUUGCUGGUAGUCUCGGUUUUUUGUUUCUAUUUUCGUUUAACUUGCGCUCGUGGUAAUCUUGCUCUUUGGUUUGUAUUUUUAUUUCUGUUUUUUUUUCUUUUAGAUACGAUGAACCAAUCCGGUUUCUUUUAUUUAUCUGACUAGGGCUCUUUGUAGUUCGUGCUGAAUGUUAGUUGGUAACUUUAUGUUUAGUCCUAAUACGUUUUCCAUAUUAAAUUGCAGCCUGUUUUGUUUGUUUUUUUAAGAUUUUGUUCAUGUUUAUUCCCUUUUUAUUUCAAAUGCAAGUCAUUUUAAGAUGGUAUGCUCACUGAUUUCUCUUUCCUCAAAAUGUAGAAAAUCUUGGUCUAGCUGGUUAUGGAAUUUGGUAUGGUUCACUGUUAGUCUAUUGAGUAAGUCUAUAGUCCAAAUCUGAAGAGGAGUCUUGUUAUUGGUGUGGAUUUGUGUAGGUGCAAUUUUAGCAAGCCUGUUUGUGUUCUUGCAUGGAUAUUGAGCUUAUCGCUUCCUUGCCUUAAGUCAUUCAUGAUUUUUUUCUUAGGUGAAAUCGCAAUAUGGUUUCUUGCUCUGUUUCUGACAGUCUGUUGUGAACUAUGUUGCUAGGAGCAAGAGACUCCUUGGCUGAUAGUUGGUUUGCCUUCUCAUUACUAGGGAUUCCCACAUGGCUGGGUAUCAAGUAGAUGGUGAUUUUCGUGCCUGCACUCUUUAGGUUUGAUGCAGUGUUGAUUAUGGAGUAUGUUGUCUGAUGUAUUUUUUUUUCAGGAUGAUUUAAGUGCUUGCAUAACGGUCUUUGAGUUCGUGAAGAUGGCCAGUUUCUCAGUCAAAUCGUCGUGAGCAUAUACAAUUUCCAUGACUCUAAGGAUGGCCUGGGCUUUUGCGGUAUCGGUUAGCUGAUAUGAUUCUUCUAGCUUCCAUAGGGUCCAGGGCAAGCUCACAUUGGCAGUUAUUCUGAGUAUGUGUAAUCUAUUCUCACACAGGAAGUGCGCCCUGUUAAAUUGUUUAUGAGCUAACCCAUAAUUUUUCCCUUAUUCCUAUUUUGCAUAGCUUAAUUAGUAGAUCUUAGAUCCAGGUUGAAUCAAACACUUUGGUGAAAUCGAGGAACACUGAGUAGGAGUCCAUGGGGCUUUGAUGUUUGUCGCUUGGUGUUUUCAAGUGUGCUUCUUCCUCUCCUGAAUCCUGAUUGACUGUUUAGUCUGAUUCUUUUGUUUUCUAGGAACCAGGUGAGUCUUUCAUUCAUUAUUUUUUCCAUAACUUUCCCAAGACCGGAGGUUAUUUAGAUAGGCCUGUAGGAUAUGGGUCAAUUGGUUUGUUCUGUUUUUAUCGGAAUGAUGGUAGCUUGCUUCUAGCGUGCUGGUACGAGUUUUCUUUGUAGAACACGAAUCAUGGGGUAAAGGAGGUAAUUCUUGUUGGUAGGUGAAAGAUUUUAAAAAACAUGUUGUGAAUUUGAUCCUUUCCCAUGGCUUUGCUUUUUAGGUUCUCCAGUCCAUAAUCUGGUUUUUUUUAUGAUUGGUGAAUUUAGCGCAUGGGGUCUUCUGGAUUUGAACUGUCUAUCAUGAGCAAUUCGUAUCGUGGGUCACCAGUUAUCUUUUUAAUAGUUAUAUUGUUUUGCGAAUAUUUCGGCCUUGUCUUUUUUGGCUAGGACGAUUUUGUUGUUGCAUGGAUUUCUUACGGACAAGGAGUUGUAGUCUGAUGUGGGAGUCCCUGUUAACAUGCUUUUAACAAAUGUCCAAUUUUCGUAAUAGGAUCCUUUGGAUUUAGGUGUCUCCAGAUGGACUUGUUAGUGGCGCAGCAUAUACAGCCUUUCUUGUGAUCACAUGUAUUUUUUCCCUUCUGGCAUUGGCUACAUUACAUUUACAUUGGCCUAACAUUUCUCGUUCCUCCAUGGGCAAAGAUGUCCUGUGUUUUUCUGACUGACUGGGUUUGGAUGUUUUAAUCUUACUGGGUUCUCUGGCUUCUAUCAUCACUUCGUGAAAUAUAUGGUACAUUGUUUCUGGGUUACGCGUAUUGCAAAAUUCACUGGCGUUAAUCUUGCAGCUUGAUUGCUCGCUCACUCCAGUCUGCAACCUUGAAGAUCCAGCUGAAAGCACGGUGUUUAAGUGUCAUAAGGCCUUCUUGAGAAAACGUGUUUUUUAAUCUUAGCAUUAUAAUAAGUGCAAAUUUUUGCAUAAGUGUAAUUUUUCAUAUGUAGGGUCGUGGCCCAUUGCAGUUCAGGUGGCCUUUUCCCACAACUCUUGGUGUCACAUUUUUGCAAGUAAUGAGUCACUAAAUCAGUAAAGUCCUUUUUUCAUGUGUGUUAAUUCUCUCAUGCGAGGAACAACUUUCUCCAGGAAGGUCACCACUGUAGAACGUUGGGACACAAACUUCUAAGGGUUUUCACCUUGUCACUAUAUUCUAAAUUCCUGCUGAGUGACACGUUUCAACAAAUAUCCACAGGCUUGGACUAAUGCAGCGUUUUUAAAUCCAGGAAGUGGGUAGGCUAGAAAUAAACAGUUAGAAACACUUCA
rnacentral:lncRNA from 1 species